AUACAUAUACAUAUAUAUCAUUUGCUAGUUUUGAAUACAAUUUGAAUAUAAUCUAGUUUAGUUUUAGUUUAGCUUAUGUUGCCCCACUGUGCUGUGGCCGCUGCCCAAUGGCGCCGCAGCUUUAGCUUCUCUUCUUCUUCCACUUCUUCUUUUGCUGCUUAUCUAAUUCAUUU